GCAAGCGUUAUUCGGAAUCAUUGGGCGUAAAGGGCGUGUAGGCGGCCUUGUGUGUCUUAUGUGAAAGCCCUCGGCUCAACCGGGGAACUGCAUGGGAAACUGCGAGGCUUGAGUCCGGGAGAGGAGAGUGGAAUUCCCAGUGUAGCGGUGAAAUGCGUAGAUAUUGGGAGGAACACCAGUGGCGAAGGCGGCUCUCUGGACCGGUACUGACGCUGAAACGCGAAAGCCAGGGGAGCAAACGGG
rnacentral:rRNA from 1 species